AUGGAGCACUCAUCUUCUCAAAGCUUCACAAGCAUGAUGAACUCCUCCUUCUCACCUUCAGAUGCACAGAGCCGAAACAACCUACAAAAUCCACAGAGCCCAAUUAGUUUGCAGUACAAUUCUAGUUUCCAUCCCCAUCAUCCACAUAUGAAUUAUCCACCCACACAAUAUAUUCCCAGUUUCCAGCAUCAACACCCACACCAUGCAAAUUUAUAUGCUCAAGGAGGUUACCAACAAGUUCCAUCCAUACCUCUAGGCUACCAUGGUGUUGCUUACCAAGGUAACAUGGGGCAGUACCCUUCGGGAGCAUUUGGAGCAGGCUCAAGUAGCAGUCCAGCUUCUCCUGCUGGAUGCAUACCUUUUCUUGGAUCUGCUAGAGGCACUAGUUCAAGAGGAGUUGAGAACAGUCCAGUUGGAUUUAGUUCUCCCAUGUCACCUGCAUAUCAAGUGGAUGAAGAUCCGGCUGUCAGUAAUCAAGAUGGCAGUGAUAGUAGUCCUGAUGAGAUUCAGAAAAAAGGAAAAGGCAAGAACUGGAGUAAGCGUGAGGAUGAACUUCUCAUAGCAGCUUGGGUGCACAAUUCAUGUGAUCCGAUUGAUGGAAGCUCCAAAAGGGCAGAGACCUAUUGGAAGGAAGUCGCAGCAGAGUACAACAAAUAUGCAACAAAAGAGCAGAAGAAAACAGUUGGGCAAUGCAAGAACCACUGGACCAAGACCACAAAGAAGGUUACAAAGUUCAAUGGUAUCUACAAUGUUGAAAAAAGUACAUGGCCUAGUGGGAGUGAUGACAAGCAACUUAUGGAGAGGGUAUGUGCCAAAUACAUGAGUGUUGCCAAGACAAAAAGACCCUUUCCAUAUGAGCACUGGUGGGAGUACGUGAGGAAAUAG
rnacentral:rRNA from 1 species